rnacentral:tRNA from 1 species
GGGGGCGUAGCUCAGCUGGGAGAGCACCUGCUUUGCACGCAGGGGGUCAGGAGUUCGAUUCUCCUCAUCUCCACCA